rnacentral:rRNA from 1 species
GACGAACCGAGCGAACGUUGUUCGGAAUCACUGGGCGUAAAGCGCACGUAGGCGGGUUCUUAAGUCAGGGGUGAAAUCCUGGAGCUCAACUCCAGAACUGCCUUUGAUACUGGGAAUCUCGAGUCCGGGAGAGGUGAGUGGAACUGCGAGUGUAGAGGUGAAAUUCGUAGAUAUUCGCAAGAACACCAGUGGCGAAGGCGGCUCACUGGCCCGGUACUGACGCUGAGGUGCGAAAGCGUGGGGAGCAAACAGG